rnacentral:rRNA from 1 species
AAUAGAUACCCCGGUAGUCCACGCCGUAAACGUUGGAACUAGAUGUGGGGCCAUUCCACGGCUUCCGUGUCGUAGCUAACGCAUUAAGUUCCCCGCCUGGGGAGUACGGCCGCAGGGCUAAAACUCAAAGGAAUUGACGGGGGCCCGCACAAGCGGCGGAGCAUGCGGAUUAAUUCGAUGCAACGCGAAGAACCUUACCAAGGCUUGACAUAUACCUGAAAAGGCUGGAAACAGUCUCCCCGCAAGGCAGUAUACGGAGGUGGUGCAUGGUUGUCGUCAGCUCGUGUCGUGAGAUGUUGGGUUAAGUCCCGCAACGAGCGCAACCCUCGUUCUAUGUUGCCAGCACGUAAUGGUGGGAACUCAUAGGAGACUGCCGGGGUCAACUCGGAGGAAGGUGGGGAUGACGUCAAAUCAUCAUGCCCCUUAUGUCUUGGGCUUCACGCAUGCUACAAUGGCCGGUACAAAGGGCUGCAAUACCGCAAGGUGGAGCGAAUCCCAAAAAGCCGGUCUCAGUUCGGAUUGAGGUCUGCAACUCGA